AGCCUACGGGGCGCAGCAGUGGGGGAUAUUGCACAAUGGGGGGAACCCUGAUGCAGCGACGCCGCGUGGGUGAAGGAGUGCUUCGGCAUGUAAAGCCCUAUCGGCAGGGAAGAAGCAGGACGGUACCUGACUAAGAAGCCCCGGCUAACUACGUGCCAGCAGCCGCGGUAAUACGUAGGGGGCGAGCGUUAUCCGGAUUCACUGGGUGUAAAGGGAGCGUAGACGGCCAUGCAAGCCAGGGGUGAAAGCCCGGGGCCCAACCCCGGGACUGCAUUUGAAACUGUUGGUCUUUAGUAUCGGAGAGG
rnacentral:rRNA from 1 species